rnacentral:rRNA from 1 species
GUAGGGAAUAUUGGGCAAUGGUCGGAAGACUGACCCAGCCAUGCCGCGUGCAGGAAGACGGCCCUCUGGGUUGUAAACUGCUUUUAUCUGGGAAGAAAAAGGCCAUGCGUGGCAAAUUGCCGGUACCAGAUGAAUAAGCACCGGCUAACUCCGUGCCAGCAGCCGCGGUAAUCCGGAGGGUGCGAGCGUUGUCCGGAUUUAUUGGGUUUAAAGGGUGCGUAGGCGGCUGAUUAAGUCAGCGGUGAAAGACUUCGGCUUAACCGGAGCAGUGCCGUUGAUACUGGUUGGCUUGAGUGUCGGAGGGGUACAUGGGAUUGAUGGUGUAGCGGUGAAAUGCAUAGAUACCAUCAGGAACACCGAUAGCGAAGGCAUUGUACUGGCCGACAACUGACGCUGAUGCACGAAAGUGUGGGGAUCGAACAGGAUUAGAAACCCCUGUAGUCC